UAGAGUUUGAUCCUGGCUCAGAUUGAACGCUGGCGGCAGGCCUAACACAUGCAAGUCGAGCGGUAACAGAAAAGAAGCUUGCUUCUUUUGCUGACGAGCGGCGGACGGGUGAGUAAUGCCUGGGAAUAUACCCUGAUGUGGGGGAUAACUAUUGGAAACGAUAGCUAAUACCGCAUAAUCUCUUCGGAGCAAAGAGGGGGACCUUCGGGCCUCUCGCGUCAGGAUUAGCCCAGGUGGGAUUAGCUAGUUGGUGAGGUAAUGGCUCACCAAGGCGACGAUCCCUAGCUGGUCUGAGAGGAUGAUCAGCCACACUGGAACUGAGACACGGUCCAGACUCCUACGGGAGGCAGCAGUGGGGAAUAUUGCACAAUGGGGGAAACCCUGAUGCAGCCAUGCCGCGUGUAUGGAGAAGGCCUUCGGGUUGUAAAGUACUUUCAGUUGUGAGGAAGGCGUUGGAGUUAAUAGCUUCAGCGCUUGACGUUAGCAACAGAAGAAGCACCGGCUAACUCCGUGCCAGCAGCCGCGGUAAUACGGAGGGUGCGAGCGUUAAUCGGAAUUACUGGGCGUAAAGCGCAUGCAGGCGGUCUGUUAAGCAAGAUGUGAAAGCCCGGGGCUCAACCUCGGAACAGCAUUUUGAACUGGCAGACUAGAGUCCUGUAGAGGGGGGUAGAAUUUCA
rnacentral:rRNA from 1 species